rnacentral:rRNA from 1 species
AGGACGAACGCUGGCGGCGUGCUUAACACAUGCAAGUCGAGCGGAAAGGCCCUUCGGGGUACUCGAGCGGCGAACGGGUGAGUAACACGUGAGCAACCUGCCCUUAGCUUCGGGAUAGCUCCGGGAAACCGGAAUUAAUACCGAAUAUGACUGCGGCUGACAUCAGCCACGGUGGAAAGUUUUUCGGCUAGGGAUGGGACUCGCGGCCUAUCAGCUAGUUGGUGAGGUAACGGCCCACAAGGCGACGACGGGUA